CUUAUUCACAGUGUGUUAGGCAUCAAGGAUUGAGCUGAGUAUCUGCAAAUUCUUACCUCAUUUAGGUCUCACAUCAUGAUCCCUAUUUUACAGAAGGCGGCAAGUGAGGUAUCAGAAGUUCCAUCUCUGAGUCAGCUUUGAGCUCAGGUCUGACCAUGCUCCUAGGACUACAUGCUCGUGCUGACUGCGUCUCUGUGAACAGCCCAGACUCCUUAGAGAGGCACUGCAGCAACUCCAUCUGUGCGGUCGACUGGCUGUUCGGCUUCCCUCUUCAAGAAGGCUAGAAAGGAGAAGAGAGCUGUUACCGCUGGGGCAGGGAGAAAAGCAUCAUCUCUGAGCAGAAAUUCUUCCCACCUGGGCCCCCUGGCCUGAGUAGGCUAUGCAAGCCCCAGAAGCUCCUGUGCAAGAGAUGAGGGGGAAGCCCAGGUGAAAAUGUGAAAACUGCCGCGGCGGCUCCCGAAUCCCGGGAGGGAGGCGCCCGCCCGGCCGCCCUUCCGCCCUCGGCAGGCCGAGCUUGCCGGACGCACGGACCGACGGACCGACGGACGCCUCGCGACAGGGGCCCCCAGUCCCGCGCUCCAGAGGUCUGGCGCGGGCCCCGAUCGCGGCGCGAGGGCCGCCUGAAAGGGCGCCAGCGCCCGACCAGGCCUCCGGGACAGGGUCUUCAGCCGGCGGCCGGGCCUCCG